rnacentral:lncRNA from 1 species
GGCAAGUGGAGUCUCUAUCUCUGCUGCAUGAUCGUCAUGUGAGGUGCCUUCCUACACCACCACACUCUUCCGCCAUGAUGUUCUGCCUCACCUCCAGCCCUGAGGAAUGAAGCCAGCUGCCUACGGACUGAGACCUCUGAAACCAUGAGCCUCCAAAUAAGUUUUUCCUCCUCUACAAUGGUUCUGAUCAGGUCUGUUAGUCACAGCAGUGAAAAAGCUGACUAAAAUAGCACCUUUGGGGUGCCAUUAAUCUGCCUACCUUAAAAAUUUCCAUUUGAUUUAGGUGGGGUGAGUGCUGAAAAGAUUUUCUUUAGAAUGUUGAAUAAGCUCCUCUGUGAACCAAAAAGAUGCACUCUAUAAAAUAGUCUCUGGAUCUGCCGACAUCUGGUAUGUCAGAGCUUCAGCGACUGGCAUUUCUUGGAGAACUCCUUUAGGUUUUAGUCAACUCUCAGAGAACAUUAUGACCAUUCCCCAUUGAGCUUUAUGCAGCUCCAUCAGUGAAUUAGUCCAUAGAUGGCAAUAACUGAGUGGUAUCUGAAGGUGUAUUCUUUGUGCUCACUCUUUCUUUCUGUCCUUAGAGUCAACUAUAGUGUAGUUUUCACCCCUCACUGUCCCUGGACAUGCUUGUGUGUGUCCAUAAUGUCCAAAUUUACUGAACAAUAGUAAAUUCAUAGUAAAUUCAUCAACUUUGAUUGACCAAGUGCUUGUAGUUUACUUGAAAGCUGUGAGCAGGGCAACACAAGUUGGCGUGUUUUUUUUUAAAUUUUAUUCCAAUCUUAAUUAUUAAUAUCCAUAACACUCAAGUCACACAUCAUGUCAAGUCACAUACAUGACUUUAGGCCAUGAUUUAUAGGUUAUGGAAUGUCUAAGAAAGGGUUAACAAUGACCAUGGGGUUUAAAAAAGCCAAAUUGAAAACAGAAGCAGAGAGCUGAUACAGAGGCUGAAGGGUCACCACUGGUGGUCAGAUUAGAUUUGCUAACCAACCACAGGGCUUGCUGGGGGCCUGGAACUGUUCA